AAUGGGAGGCCUGGGAAAAAAAGAGAGGCGGAGAGACCUUGAGAAAAGGAUGGACAUUACAUUAUGACCGUUGGUGAAGAAAAAUUAAACAGAAGAUGAUAAAAAUAGAACAAAACCCAUACCUACCGAGUUGAUGGGAAAUACCGAUUUUAUUUUAUAAGAGAGUUGUUAUAAUUGUGUUAAGAAAGACUUAGUAAAGACUGAAGCUACCGUCUCAUCGUGGAAGUAUUUGACAGCCUUGAGGUUAGCCUAGCAUCGUGUGAAACCGAGAGAGAAUUGCUUGGGAAAGAUUAACGAGUUCAUGUUCCCAUGGGAUAUCGGUUACUGCUAAAGAGUACUGUCUGCAUUGAUAGCUGUGCUUGCUGUGGAUCUUGUGAUGAAAUCUGCAAGGAACUGCCAUACUACACUGAGGGAAUAUCUACGAGUAGUGAGUAACCACAACGGUGGGGUGCUUCGGGACGUUAUGUGUGUUGUCAUUUUAUUUCAGCUCCAACGCGCGCCAACGGGGUUAAGCAAGCUUGAAAUCGUUUGCACAUGGGUUGUGCCUGACUCAUUGGGGUUCAUUAUUUUUAUUUAUUUUGAUGUGGUGCUUUGAAAAUGUAAUAAUAUACAUUUUGAACCUUAUGUAUGUUGCCUUGGUGGAGUCAUUUCCUGUUUCAAAUUAAUUUAAUGCAUGGGAAAGUAUAUCCUUAUACAAUAACAAAAACUUCCAUCUAAAGCCAUCUCGACUCCCAGACGAGCUCCUCCAGCACCGGUCGGAAGUGUGUCCUCUCUGACCACAGCAGGUGCAGGAGGAGCCUCCUCCUCCGGUCCCCCUCGAUGCAGCCCCCCCAACUCCAUCGGAGUUGGAGCAGGAGGGCUGGGAGGUGGAACUAACAGGACCCCUUCUGAACGCCCGCGGGCAGCUAGCAGGUUGUCCAGCCGGAUCGACAAGUCUAUGAGUUCGUCGAGGGAGAGUGUGGUGUCCCGACAGGCUAGCUCCCUGCGGACGUCCUCCCGGAGGCUGCACCGGAAGUGGUCCAUCAGGGCCCUGUCGUUCCACCCCGCACCAGCGGCCAAGGUCCAGAACUCCAACACGAAGUCAUGCGCGCUCCUCGUCUCCUGUCUGAGGUGAAACAGUCGUUCACCCGCCGCUCUGCCCUCUGGAGGGUGGUCGAACACGGCCCGAAAACGGCGGGUGAACUCCGGGUAGUGGUCCCGAGCCAAGUCUGGGCCGUUCCAGACUGUGUUGGGCAGGAGACGAGGAGGCUCACACUCUCUUCACCCGAGGGAGUCGGACGAACGGUAGCCAGGUAUAGCUCGAGCUGGAGAAAAAAAACCUGGCACCCAGCCGGCGCUCCAUCGUACUCCCUCGGGGGCGAGAGACGUAACGCGCUGGGACCGGACAUCGCCGGAGGAGGAGUGGGUUGCGUCGUCGCUAAAGGUGAAGUCGGGAGACCACUCCUCUCCCAUCGCUCCAUUCUCUCCAUCAUUUGGUCCAUCGCCGAACCGAUCCGAUGGAGGAUGGCCGUAUGAUGGAGGACGCGCUCCUCCAUUGAUAGAAGAGGGGUGGUCGCUGCUCCUGCUGACUCCAUAGGUUAUGGUGCGGGCUUCUGUCACGUCUUCGAGGAGUAGUGGGUGGAGGAAUCAGGCGCAGAGAUCAGAGGUAGUUCAAUCGUGAUCUUUUAAUCCCGAACAACAAGUAACGGUAACGCCAAACACUAAGGCGCAUCACUUUCAAACAGUCCAAAAACAGGACCAAACAGUCCGGAGAAAAUAGUACACGAGAAACACACCACAUGAACAGAAAAACAAGCCCGCACAAAAGCAGGCGGGCAUACCUGGUUUAAAUAGCCCAAAUCAAAACCCAAUACAAGGAACAGGUGUAACAAAUCAGACAAAACUAACUGAAACAGAAAAGGGGAUCGGUGACAGCUAGUAGACCGGUGACGACAACCGCCGAGCGCCGCCCGAACAGGAAGAGGAACCACCUUCGGCAGGAUUCGUGACACUCUGUCACUUUCAGACAUGUGCAGAGCAGACUGAAAGGGGAAGGGUAGCUCUUGACUUGAACCACAGGGGUUCUCUGUAAAGAGAGAGUAAUCCAAAAGGCACAGACAGACCCCUUGACUUUCAAUUGGCACCCUUGACCUGUAUGUAGUCUCUCCUGAUUGGCUCUGUGGUGCUUAGUCAAUAGGAACUCCGUUGCUGGCCACAUGAUAAAGUUUUUACAGUCUGGCAGUCUGACUAAAGCGCCAGAGGUAUGAGGAGAGACAUCCUCCUUUGUAUUUAUGGGAACAAAUAUUUCCUAACACUUUGGAUCCUAUUCUUGGACAGUUAGAAGACACAAUGCGUCAAUGGAAAAAAAUGUUUUUACUAAUUACUGUCCAUGAGUAACCUCAACCUUGUGGGUCUAUGGGUGUUUGGGCCAAUAAAGUGCCAACUCAAUCCUACCACUGACUAGUCUCUCAUGCCCCUAUGAACGGGGACACAGGGCAACAGUUUUUAAUCUAAACCAGCCCUUUCUUACUGGAGUACACUAACCCCUAAUUGGGACUCUUUUCUUGACACACAGUAGCAGUUUACCAGAUAAGUUAAGAAGAUCAAAAAGUAGAUUGUUGUAAUGGUGUAUUACAUUCUGUCAUUGUCAUAUCCAUAUCCAUUGUCAUAUCCAUUCUGGAUUCUGAGUGGUAAAAUCAUAGCUGAAAAAUGCCUGCAUCAACUGCAUAUAUCAUAAAUUGCUAUUGCAAAUAGAAGUAUUAUGUUCAACAACUGACAUUUUCGGAUAUUAUUUUGACAAACACACUUUAACACACUUUGGUGCUUACAAUUCAUUCUCUAUUGUCAUAGACUUGAUGGGCACUGUCAUCUGUGAUCUUUGUGAUAUGACUUUCUUUAAGCACGUACUGAUGAAACUGUCACUUAAUAUUUUUUUCUUAGUCUACAAAUGCUUUACAUUUAUUCACUCUGUGAUAGGGUUGGAUCCUAUCUGCUACUUUUAUUAUUGUCCUGUAAAUGGUUCAGUGCCUAUAAUUUAGGCUGUGUGUAGAAUGGGACAUGCAGGAAAUUACCUCUAUUAGAUUAUAGUCAUAAGGAAAUCAGCAUACAGUUUUGGCCCGUGUAUUCAUUUGCCUAUAUCUAAUCAGAAUUCUAUGUUUACAUAAAAAAGAGAAUACUUCAAAAUGAGAAGAUCCUGCCAUGGAAAAGACGACUGGGUGUACAUAAAGUGGAAAGGAUGGGAAAUAACUCACACCAUACAGCAGGACACUUUCAGCUGCACGGUCUUUGUAAUGCAGGUUUGAUAGUUGUAUUUCAAUAAUGAAUGGUUAGCAGUUAUAUGACAAUUAGGUCAAAAACUCUAUUUUAUUUUUUGGUGUAGAUGGCCAAGGAAGUUGCACAGAACUUCCCCAACAUCCCCUCCCAAAUUGAUAUAGAACCUUCACAAAAACACAUGGAGCAACUGCGAAAAGAAAUGGCUGAGGAUAUACAAAAAAUGUCUGGUAUGUAAUGACUUUUAAUUCAAAGUAAAUGUCAAUUCUUUAUUUUCAUGUAGUUGUGAGGGACAGCCAUAUGUUCAGUUCAUGCCUAUGAUUUCAGAGUUCAACAAAGCCAACAACUGCUUCAUGUGUGCCACUGAUAAAGAACCUGGAUGUGGCCCAAAGACUGACUGGAUUGAAUGUUUUGCAUGCCAACGGUGGUUCCAUGUGCUGUGCCUAGGAAUGAAGACAAAAGAGUAAUGAACACAAACUGGAAGUGCUGUCUUUGUUGUUGAAAAUGUAUGCUAUACCCUAUCCAAACUAUACAUUAUCCACACUGAAUAGGCUCUGAAAUGUAUAUAAACCAGGGAUAAAGAGAGAAAACGAACACAAAUGUUUUGUACUUAUUUGAAGUAAAGUGUCUGUUGACAUGUUGGAAAAGAUUAAAGGUCUACAAUUUCUAUUUAA